rnacentral:rRNA from 1 species
ACUGCUGUCUCCCGUAGGAGUCUGGUUAUUGGGCGUAAAGCGUGCGUAGGCGGUUUAUUAAGUUUAAGAUAAAAGCCCGGGGCUCAACUCCGGUUCGUCUUAAAAACUGGUAGACUUGAGUGUGGUAGAGGUAAAUGGAAUUUCUAGUGUAGCGGUGAAAUGCGUAGAUAUUAGAAGGAACACCAGUGGCGAAGGCGAUUUACUGGGCCAUAACUGACGCUGAGGCACGAAAGCGUGGGGAGCAAAUAGGAUUAGAUACCCUAGUAGUCCACGCUGUAAACGAUGAGUACUAAGUGUCGGGUUACCGGUGCUGAAGUUAACACAUUAAGUACUCCGCCUGAGUAGUACGGUCGCAAGGCUGAAACUCAAAGGAAUUGACGGGCACCCGCACAAGCGGUGGAGCAUGCUGUUUAAUUCGAAGAUACGCGAAGAACCUUACCUGGGCUUGACAUCCCGCUGACCGUCUUAGAGAUAAGAUUUUCCCUUCGGGGACAGCGGUGACAGGUGGUGCAUGGUUGUCGUCAGCUCGUGUCGUGAGAUGUUCGGUUAAGUCCGAUAACGAGCGCAACCCUUAUCUUUAAUUGCUAACAUUAAGUUGAGAACCUUAAAGAUACUGCCGGUGACAAACCGGAGGAAGGUGGGGAUGACGUCAAAUCAUCAUGCCCCUUACGUCCAGGGCUACAGGCGUGCUACAAUGGCUGGUAUAAUAAGAAGCAAUACCGUGAGGUGGAGCAAAUCUCCAAAGCCAGUCCCAGUCCGGAUUGGAGUCUGCAACUCGACUCCAUGAAGUUGGAAUCGCUAGUAAUCCCGAAUCAGAAUGUCGGGGUGAAUACGUUCCCGGGUGUUGUACACACCGCCCGUCAUGCCAUGGGAGUCUGUAAUACCUGAAGUCGGUAGCCUAACCCGCAAGGGAGGGGGCCGCCCAGGGUAGGACAGGUGACUGGGGUGAAGUCGUAACAAGGUAUCCCUACGAGAACGUGGGGAUG